AAUGUAGAGCCUGAAUUAAAGGAUUAUCGUGAUAGGGUAAAAUAUGCAACCAAAUUGCCUACAUUA
rnacentral:tRNA from 1 species